GCCACACAUGCGCGCCGGCGCAGAGUGGUGCCGCCGUGCCGUCCCGCCAAGCACAAGCGCCGCCCCCCCCCUCCACAAACUGUUUGCAGAAGGUGAAGCGUCGUGCGGCGGGACUACCCCGCGCGGUUUCUGAUCCGGGGAAGAGAGCUUGAUCAGCCGACCUUCCAAGCUACUCGAGGACGAACUCAAGCGCCACACAGCAAAGGUCUUCCGCAUCAGGAGCACACCACUCAUGCUCUCGGGGGGGGGGGGGGGGGUUCGCCGCCGUCUACAAGAGCGGACGUGUAGCAGAUCGCGGCAGCAGAUAUGUCUGUCAUCGGGCAAGCUGUGGCUCAGAUGAAGACGAACAUGGAAGCGGUCGUCAAGCAUUUGCGCCACCACAGAGGUCCACCGCGAAGAGAGCAACAAUGGCAGUCCAAGCGACGCAACGGGGACCGCAAGGGUGGAGGCCAAUAAUGCUAGCAGCAACAGCAGCCUCCUGUUCCUGCACGGCGCCCUCCGCACGCCGGCCUGCCACUGUAUCUCGGUGCAAAGGCCGGGUGUUCCACAUCGAAGGGAGGCCCAAAACGUGAGGGGCAGAGUCAAGCGGAUCGGAGAGCGCAGGAGCGGGUCACAACACAGAAUGACGGCGAAGCCGCGCGAGGCUAUGCGAUGGUGUGUGUGUGUGUGUGGUGGGUGGUUGGGGAGGAGGGGUGCACACGGUCGUAGCUCAGUGGACGGCCCGAACAGAGGCGCAGGAUGACGCCUUGAGAACCGCGGCGGCCCCAGCGCGAGGCCGGAGAGCGGUGGAGGGGCCCGCCGCCAGCAAGGGUUCCGGACCUGCUGUCUAACGGUGAGUGCUUCCACAGCGAAGCACUCGGCCUAUGUAGAGCCUCGGGCAUCUGUGUCGUGGUUGUAGUCCCUGAUCGCGACACAAGAGCUGGCGGAGAGUAGAGGCCUGAUUAUGCGCGUAGCACUGGGCCACGGCUCAUUGUUUUUUUUUUUUGGUGUUGUCGGGAAGCGUGUCAGUGCAGCGGACUCG
rnacentral:misc_RNA from 1 species